rnacentral:rRNA from 1 species
GAUGAACGCUGGCGGCGUGCCUAAUACAUGCAAGUCGAGCGAACGGACGAGAAGCUUGCUCCUCUGAUGUUAGCGGCGGACGGGUGAGUAACACGUGGAUAACCUACCUAUAAGACUGGGAUAACUUCGGGAAACCGGAGCUAAUACCGGAUGAUAACUUUAACCGUAUGGUUUAAAAGUGAAAGACGGUCUUGCAUCAACUUAUAGUUAGACCCGGGUUGCAUUAGCUAGUUGGUAAGGUAACGGCUUACCAAGGCAACGAUGCAUAGCCGACCUGAGAGGGUGAUCGGCCACACUGGAACUGAGACACGGUCCAGACUCCUACGGGAGGCAGCAGUAGGGAAUCUUCCGCAAUGGGCGAAAGCCUGACGGAGCAACGCCGCGUGAGUGAUGAAGGUCUUCGGAUCGUAAAACUCUGUUAUUAGGGAAGAACAUAUGUGUAAGUAACUGUGCACAUCUUGACGGUACCUAAUCAGAAAGCCACGGCUAACUACGUG